CCUGGUAGUCCAUGCCGUAAACGAUGAUUACUUAGGUGUGGGAGGAUUGACCCCUUCCGUGCCGCAGUUAACACAAUAAGUAAUCCACCUGGGGAGUACGACCGCAAGGUUGAAACUCAAAGGAAUUGACGGGGGCCCGCACAAGCAGUGGAGUAUGUGGUUUAAUUCGAAGCAACGCGAAAAACCUUACCAGGUCUUGACAUCCCGUGCAUAGCUAAGAGAUUAGUGAAGUCCUUCGGGACACGGAGACAGGUGGUGCAUGGUUGUCGUCAGCUCGUGUCGUGAGAUGUUGGGUUAAGUCCCGCAACGAGCGCAACCCUUAUCUUUAGUUACUACGCAAGAGGACUCUAGAGAGACUGCCGUUGACAAAACGGAGGAAGGUGGGGAUGACGUCAAAUCAUCAUGCCCUUUAUGACCUGGGCCACACACGUACUACAAUGGCAAUUAACAAAGAGAAGCGAAACCGCGAGGUGGAGCGAACCUCAUAAAAAUUGUCUCAGUUCGGAUCGCAGGCUGCAACCCGCCUGCGUGAAGCCGGAAUUGCUAGUAAUCGCGGAUCAGCAUGCCGCGGUGAAUACGUUCCCGGGCCUUGUACACACCGCCCGUCACACCAUGAGAGCCGGGGGGACCCGAAGUCGGUAGUCUAACCGCAAGGAGGACGCCGCCGAAGGUAAAACUGGUGAUUGGGGUGAAGUCGUAACAAGGUAGCCGU
rnacentral:rRNA from 1 species